AUAAUACAACUAAUGAUUAAUAAAAUAACUAAUUAUUAAUAAAAUAACUCAUAAUGAAUAAUAUAACUAAUGAUUAACAAUAUAACUAAUGAUUAAUAAUAUAAGUUAUGAUUAAUGAUUUAACUAGUGAUUAAUAAUAUAACUAAUGAUUAAUAGUUAAAGCUCAGAAAUCCAAAUCCAUCAAUAUGAACAAUGUGCUUAGCUGGAAAGUCCAAGUAGAGUGUCUGCUCCAGUGUCCAACAACACCUCUAUUUCCUACACAGACUCAGGGUUAUUAGAGUUACCAGAGAAUAAUGCUCCUGGUCUUCAGGGGAAAGCCCUCAUUGAUCUACUCUGGUUGCGCGCAAUUGGCUGCGCUUAAUUGGCGCAUUCACAAUGGUUCGAUGGGUGAGUGAAUUCAUUGGGACAGUGCAACAGCCGUACUGGGGGACUCAGUCAGCUGUAGCCCAACAGCACGUACUGGGGGACUCAGUCAGAUGUAUCCCAACAGCACAUACUGGGGGACUCAGUCAGCUGUAGCCCAACAGCACGUUCUGGGGGACUCAGUCAGCUGUAGCCCAACAGCACGUACUGGGAUACUCAGUCAGCUGUAGCCCAACAGCACAUUCUGGGGGACUCAGUCAGCUGUAACCCAACAGCAUGUACUGGGACACUCAGUCAGCUGUAACCCAACAACACGUACUGGGGGACUCAGUCAGCUGUAGCCCACUUGGGUGCUGCUAUAGAGAUUCAUUAGUAGUGUCCGCCCAUGAAGGCUUGAUGUCAUUUGCCACAGAUAAAUCGACGUAGCAAUUUCAUAGUUGUUUAUCGUCUUCUAGUUAGCUAGUUGAAAAGUCAUCAUGAAUCAUGUCAACAAUCGCCUAGCAAAUUAUUUUCAAACUUGUUGAGAUAAAACAUAUUGGAGCUCAUCAACCACUGAACAGACCUCAGUUAAAAUAGAGCAAGUUAGAAAAUAAUUAAACCUGAGUUUGGAUGGAACUUUGGAUGGAACUUGUGUGACAAAGUGAAAAUGUAGUUUCCAUCAACCUCACGCGCAAUGUAGAUAUCAAAGAACGCCGCAGUUCGUGGGUAGAGUAGUGGGUGAAACCAUUCACUUCAGGAAAAGGUGUGAUAUUGUUACCCUCCCAAUGAGCUUAUCAUAUAAACUACAACGCGAAAAGUACGGUUUACUUCACUUUUAAUCAUGUCGGCACAGGUAGCAGACGUUUACAGUCUUUCUUUAGUUUUUGAUCCUUACUCUUCCCAAUCAGUGUUGCCAACUCCUCAGUAAGGAAAGUAGCUAUUGGCUGUCCUAAAAGUCAUAUAAUUGUGAUGUAUGCUGUAGGAGAGUGGAAUAACGUCGUGGGAGAGACACAUUUUUUGUUGUUGUAAAAAACAUCCUGAAUAUGUUUAGAACUACAAAUGAACUUUCUUCUGUCGAUUAUUUUUUUUAUGUCACAAUUCCAACCCUCUUCCUUUAUCCGGGCUUGGGACUGGCAAAAGUGACCCAAAAGAGACACUCUGGCGAAGUUACUUUGUGGGUGUUUUUUGUUUUUAAGUUUAGUUUUUUACAUUUACAUCCCGCCCUGAUUGUAAGCCAGGGCGGCUUCCCGCAUGCGCGAUUCAUUUGCAGUCUGGACGCGGAGGGGUGAACGUCUCCUGCUCUGACUGCUGCUGGGAGGGACUGCUGCGCGAGGACUCGGCCGCAAUAUUGUUCCCAAUUCACUUAAACUAUAUUUCUUUAUUUCCAAUGGGCUUCACCAGAGUAUCCCAUAGCCGCAAUAUUGUUCCCAAUUCACUUAAACUAUAUUUCUUUAUUUCCAAUGGGCUUCACCAGAGUAUCCCAUAGUGUCUGGAAUACAACUGUAUUAAGCCCCUUACAUCCACCCCCCUGCAAAAACGACAUGUUGUCUCAAACAUUUCACUGGCCUCAAAACAAACAGAAUAUGUAAGUACUGGUCAUGAGAACAACAGAGAAAACUGGCCUAACAGCCAUAUAACUAUCUAGACGUGUCCCGUCUGCCUUUAUGGGCAAAAACGCAACCCCCACUAAACAUUAUCACACUGACUAGUAAAGGUAAACGAGAAAAUAUAUACACAUCAGAACAUCUCUAGUUGGUAUCCUGCUAAGAGCUUGGCAGCCCUAAAGUGUUAUAGGUUAGAAUUUCUCUGGGCCUCCUGCGGGCUGAACGGAGGGGCAAGGUCAUGGGUUACCCCAAUGAAUCAGUGUCCACUUCGUGAUGAGAUGAUUGAGUCUGCGUAAAGAAUCACCAGCAGCAAGAGCAGCGAAAUUGAUGAAUAUACAGAGAAGAGAGUUGGCCCGAGAAUUGAACCCUGUGGCACCCCCAUAGAGACAACAGGCCCUCCGAUUUUACACCCUGACACACAUUAUCAGAGAAGUAGUUGGUGAACCAGGUGAGGCAAUUAUUUGAGAAACCAAAGCUGUUGAGUCUGCCAAUAAGAAUGUUGUGAUUGACAGUCGAAAGCCUUAGCCAGGUCGAUGAAUACGGCUGCACAGUAAUGUCUCUUUUCGAUGGCGGUUAUGAUAUCAUUUAGGACCUUGAGCGUGGCUGAGGUGCACCCAUAACCAGCUCUGAAACCAGAUUGCAUAGCGGAGAAGGUACGGUGGGAUUCGAAAUGGUCGGUAAUCUGUUUGUUAACUUGGCUUUCGAAGACCUUAGAAAGGCAGGGUAGGAUAGAUAUAGGUCUGUAGCAGUUUGGUCUAGUGUCUCCCCCUUUGAAGAGGGGGAUGACCACUGCAGCUUUCCAAUCUAUGGUAAUCUCGGACGAUACGAAAGAGAGGUUGAACAGGCUAGUAAUAGGGGUUGCAACAAUUCCGGCCAAUCAUUUUAGAAAGAGAGGGUAGGGAAGGAUGAGGAGGAGAUCAGAUCCUCACUUCUCAUUGCCGUCCACCUCAUUGUCAGUGCCAUGGACGGUGAGAUAGAGAGCAGUUUUCACAGGAUUCUCUGUCAGGAUUUGGCCAGGGUUGUUCCGGGUUUUGGUCACUAGAUGCCCCCAUUGUGCUUUUUGACCUUAUGUUUUUUCCCUUGAUUCCCAUUAUUAUUUGCACCUGUGCCUCGUUUUCCCCUGAUUGUAUUUAAACCCUUAGUUUCCCUCAGUUCUGUGCUCUGUGUUUGUAUGUUAGCACCCAGCCCUAGUGUUCUGUGUAUUCUUGUCGAUUCCGGUGGACGCUCUUGUGGAAUUCUGUUUUUCUUUUUUGAGUAUCUCUUGAGGCUUUUUUGUGCUAUACCUACCACCUUUUGGAUUUGCCAUUUUGUAUUGAAGGACUUCUCCUUUUUACUUUAUUAAAUACACCGUCUUAAGUACUGCUGUGUCUGCCUCAUCUUCUGGGUUCUGCUGACUAUUCGUGGCUCAGUUGGUUAAGUGACUGUUUCUCACUCCGGAGACCCAGGAAUGACAGAUGAGGGUCUCUCUGUGUUCGGAUCCUGUUGCAGUCCUCCAGUCUUACAGACCCUGCAGAUCCUGGUGCAGCAUGUGGCAGCAGGGAGUGGGGAGACCCUCUGAGAGAUGCAGGUCUGGCUGUUCUGACUGAGGAGGAGCUGUAUCAGAGGACAGAGAGUCUCUUUGGUCACUCUGAAGUUACACUGAAGAGAGAGGAGGACACACUGAGGACAGAGAUGAAGGACCAGCCUGGAUACCUUCCUCUAGUCAUGAGUAUCACUGUGAAAGGCCUGGCCUCUUUACUGUAAGGAGGGAGAGAGAGAACAUGCAACUUGUAAAUCCUGUUUGAACUGAUACACUCAGUAUUUCAUUCCAUGUCUUACUCCUGCACUAGUUGAGCUGAAGAACUAGUGAUCAACAGUGAAUGUAUCCUUGUAAUGUUUUCAGUAAAGUUCAACAAACGAUA